rnacentral:lncRNA from 1 species
AUUUGGAUGGAGCAAGACAUAGCAGCUCUUGCAGCAAUAGCAAAGGAAGCAAAUCAACUCCGAGCCACAGUGUCAACUCCACAAAAGAAAGUGACAACUCAAGCAGAGAAGAACCCCAGUCCUGCGAUCCCAGUAUCAACUGAACUAAAGAUUUCCAGGUUUAAAGAUCACAUCUACAUGACCACAGGGGAGACCAGUGCCCUUUAUGAUGGUGGGUCNACAGGUUGCUUAAAGUUUCCUCCUGUUCCUGGAAAGUUAAAAU